GACGAACGCUGGCGGCGUGCUUAACACAUGCAAGUCGAACGGAAAGGCCCUGCUUUUGUGGGGUGCUCGAGUGGCGAACGGGUGAGUAACACGUGAGUAACCUGCCCUUGACUUUGGGAUAACUUCAGGAAACUGGGGCUAAUACCGGAUAGGAGCUCCUGCUGCAUGGUGGGGGUUGGAAAGUUUCGGCGGUUGGGGAUGGACUCGCGGCUUAUCAGCUUGUUGGUGGGGUAGUGGCUUACCAAGGCUUUGACGGGUAGCCGGCCUGAGAGGGUGACCGGCCACAUUGGGACUGAGAUACGGCCCAGACUCCUACGGGAGGCAGCAGUGGAGAAUAUUGCACAAUGGGCGGAAGCCUGAUGCAGCAACGCCGCGUGCGGGAUGACGGCCUUCGGGUUGUAAACCGCUUUCGCCUGUGACGAAGCGUGAGUGACGGUAAUGGGUAAAGAAGCACAGGCUAACUACGUG
rnacentral:rRNA from 1 species